CAGAGUUGCAAAACUCCCACAAACCAUCGCGAAUCUUACCCGUACGGUUGCCUCGGCGCUGGCGGUCCGGAAGGCCCUCGGGCCCCCCGGAUCCUCGGGUCUCCCGCUCGCGGGAGGCUGCCCGCCGGAGUGCCGAAACCAAACUCUUGAUAUCUUAUGUCUCUCUGAGUAAACUUUUAAAUAAGUCA
rnacentral:misc_RNA from 1 species